rnacentral:lncRNA from 1 species
UUGAACGCAGCUGCUGACAAAUGGAUUAAAUGGCGGAUUCCUUCAGCAGCGAAAGCUAAUAAAUGCAAGUAAUAAGAAUGUGAACACCAAGGACCUCCAGAAUGAAUAAAUUCAAAGAAACCUGCCGAUAAUAUUUAUGACUUUCAUGGCUCACACAAAAUGCCGUUUGCCGAGAGAACUGUUGCGCUGCAAGGUGUUGCAUCAGAAAACACGUUGGCGUGACGGUAGCCAUCCACGAGAGCUGCUUCGCGUACAAUGUUGGGCUAGAGUCUGGCUCUAGGAAUUGAAACUUCGGUGAUGAUGCAAUCCUAUCUAAUGUCUUUUCCUGGUUGGCUACAGCACCAGAAAGAAGGGGUUUUGGAAGAAGAAAUAAAGGUGACAAAAGUCUCGUCUUCGAUGCGAUGCACAUAAUCUUUUUAUAAUUUUACCAAUUACCAGCGAUUUCAUUCAUGUCUAAAAGACAAAACGGCCGUGAAAUUUCAACUCGUAAAGCGAUUAAAUCUUGUUAAAUCUUGAAUCUUUGAAGAUGCGACAACAGCUUCUCGUGGCAGUAAGUGAUCAGACAUGAAAUUCAAUCAUUCAGCUGAAUUGUUUUCCUUGAAUCGCAGAUUUUAACCCUUUUGCAUCGAGUUUUUCUUUUUUAUUGGAAAUCACAGCAGUGAUGAAGGCGUGAUUGUAGCAUGUGAAGUGCUGGUAAAUGUCGGCUAUUAAUUCGAAAAUUAUCUCUGCAUUCCAGCAACAACUUGUUAUUGUGCAAUCUGUGAAACAGUUGGAAGAUGUAAUAAGUGACAGUAAGGGAUGAGGAGCUUAACAAAGGUGUCGAGGAUACCUGAACACCUAAGUAAUAAAUUAGUACGGAUUUUUACUUUCUUUCCCGUGGGUUUUGGAAAUCGCAGCAAGAUUUAAUGAGAUGUGAAAAGAUAAACCUUGUUUAUUCUUUCUUAUGAAAAAUAGAAACCCAGAUCAUCCUCGAAUAGCAACUUAGGUCUUUUUUCAACCGCCAAUUCGAAUGGAUAGUGUGGAUAGUAGUCCAAACAUCGGAAUUCCGUCACGAUGCCAUAGUAGCAUGGUACAACCAUGAUAUCAUGGUCGCACUAUAAUCCGGAAAUUAAUCAUAAACUUAAAUAAUGUUACGUCAGAGAUUGAUACAGAGACUGGACCAAAUUUUUAUGAAAGACGAAUGGGGUCUACAAAGGAAGAGAUCAGUUGCGCAGAAAAACUUAAAUGGGCUAUGAAAGCCCACGAACGCUAUUAACUAGUGUUUUGUUUCCAGCUGUUGUUGCUUAGAACUACGGUAACCCAGCAGACCGCCUUCUCAUCACAGAAGAUAGCCAGCCUUAUUAUUAUUUAUUUUGCUGUUAAUUUCAUCCAGAAGUGUGAAAGUGUUACUUAACUGCAACUGCAAGAAGUUUCUUGAAAUGGACUCGGUGGCAAGGUGAUAUUUCGAAUGUGUGAUGAAACCAAGUUUCGGAUUUCGUUUAAAUUUCACCUAAUCGACCCCAAAUCCCAAUCUAGUCCAGAGACUCCAGUCGUCCGUGGAUACUUUGGGCUGUCACUAGCUGGCUAAAUAUUUCAGUGUGUUUAGGACUUUAGGGAUUGAACUAUUCAGCCCUAGCAUGUUUGUAAGAGGGAUAUGUAGAGGGGGGGGGGGAGACAUUUUUCUAGACGCUGUUCGAGAUCGUAUUCAUUGCGGGGUACUUUCUUUCCCCGACAUUUUUUGUCACAUAAAUGGCAAUUUCCGCUCGUAUUCAUUAAGGGUAUUAAAUGUAAAAUUCUUGCGUGGUGAAUUUAGAGGUAAUAAAGCUUUCAUACUUGCAAGAAUGCAAUUCCAUCUGA